rnacentral:misc_RNA from 1 species
AGAUCACCCUGAAUUCAAAUCCUUUCAAUGGCAAGAGAGAAGAAAUAAGUUUGCAUGGUCAGAUAUAUCAAGUCCAGGGUUACAACAAAGAAGUUGAUACUUGGUUUAGUGCAGCUAUUGGUCGACCAUGUACUUUGUUGCGGCAUAUAAAUUCCAGUCAUUGUGCCAGCUUGUGUGAGAGAGAUGGUGUUGGUACCUGUAGAGAAUCACGAAAUCGCUUGAAUUUUCCCAAUGAAGCACAGUUCUUGCUGGUAUCUGAGGAGAGUGUAUCAGACCUCAAUAACAGAUUGAAUUCAAAUGUUGGAAAGGACGUUCGUAGAACAUCACUUCAAGUUAAUCCUAUGAGGUUCCGGCCAAAUCUUGUCAUAUCUGGAGGCAGACCUUAUGCUGAAGAUGAGUGGAG